rnacentral:lncRNA from 1 species
CUCCUACCAGACGAUAGCUCCAUACAUCAUUUUACUAGAAGAGCCUGAUGCCUACAGAAUUAUAACAACAACAGACACUUUUAUGGAAUUUACAGAAAAUCAGUGGACAACCUUUUCCAUUGUACAUGAUUUUCCAGCCAGGAAAGGAUGGACUAGAUUAUCUGAAUUUCUGCGUUUCACAAGGAAAGAAAAAAUCUUGCCUAGCUGAGCGUGACAGUAUCCCCAUCUGUGAGGAACUGCUCUGGAAGCACUGAUAGUACUUCACAAGUGUCAGGGUUCCGGAUUCAGCAACCUGUCAUCUGAGAACCCCCUCCUCCUCUUCCACUGCCUGUUAUCACCGCAUCCUUUCUCCCUGACAUGGCUGUGGAGUCUUCCAGGAAGUAACUCAAACUUGACUUCCUCCUUCCUGGGCCCAGGACAUCCUGAAAAAUUUAACAAAGGCAAGGAACAAGUGAUCCCCAGCAACUGCAAGGCAUCCCCUGACCUAAAUCAAAGGAUCACCCAGCACCUGCCACUCAUGAGGUUCCUGCCCGCAAAGGAAUCAUAAAAAAAG